rnacentral:lncRNA from 1 species
UAAACAUAAAAAUUUAUAAUAUAAUAGCCAAAAUACUGAAAAUAAAUAUUAAAAAAAUAUAGAAAUUCUAAAAAAAAAACCUUAAAUUGGAAUAAUCGAAUCCCACGUAAUUUAAAAUAUAUUGUAUGUUAGAAAAAUCUGAGUAAACAAAUAAAGUAUCAAAUUCAAAUAAAAAAAAAACCUUUCAAAUAGUUAAUUGUUACAGACAGAUGCGAUCAAUUUUCUUGAGACAAAAUAAACAGUAUUUAGUAUAUAUUAUUUCUUAUUCAUCAAAAAUGAGUAUGAGUACAACCCUUUAUAUAAAUUCUAAAUUGACUUUUCAUAUUCUAAGAUGACCUUUCAUUUUCUUCUAUUAAAAUAUACGACUUUUCAUAUUCCCAACUUUUUAAAUUUUUAUCCAACCUUUCACCAUCUAAUUAAUUUAUAAAAAAUUGGUGGGACCUGCACUCUUAAUUUAAAUUCUAAAUUGACUUUUCAUAUUCUAAGAUGACCUUUCAUUUUCUUCUAUUAAAAUAUACGACUUUUCAUAUUCCCAACUUUUUAAAUUUUUAUCCAACCUUUCACCGUCUAAUUAAUUUAAAAAAAAUUGGUGGGACCUGCACUCUUAAUUUAAGGGGUAGUAGGGCUAUAUUCCUAAAUUAAAGGAAUGAUAAUCUAUCCCUAGAAAAAAAAUAAUGAAAGAGAAAAUUCAAUUAAUUUUAAAAAAUAAAAAAUUGAUGGGACCCACACCCCCAAAUUAAGGAGGUUGGGCCACAUUAGCUUGAAAGACAUGAGGAUUCAUAGUUUUACUAGUGUAGAGACCCGCGCGAUGCAGCGGGUAGAUAAUAGAAACAAAUUAUUAAUAUUUUAAUAAAAUUUAUAUUUACAGCUUAUAGAAAGCUAUGCCAUGUUAAGCACAGUCAAUUUGCAUGACUAAAUUCAAUUGUUAAAAAAUAAAAUAAUAGCUAGAAGCAUAUGAAAUACAUAAAUAAUAACUUAACGUAUCUAGCUUAAGAAAAUUUUGGUUGGCGUCUCAGGCUCCAGUCUCCGCAUCAUACUUUUUAAUUUACGAAAGAAAUUUUGCCCACAACAGUGUCUACUAAAAAAAAUGAUCAUAAUAUGAAAAUAAAACAAAAAACAUCAAUAUUAAAAAAACUAAUAUUUGUUUGGAGCACUUCUCUCACUCAUCCAAACCUUAUACAUCUUCUUAAUCUUCAGCUGGUAGUUGCUCCCCGUGCCGAGUCAUUGCUGAAUUUCCAUUGUAACCUAUGAACAAACACCUCAUCUGCAUUAUCAAACUGCGAUAUCUAAACCGACACAGCCUUACCAUCACAUCAGCCACAGAAACCCUAAUUCUUAAAUAAUUUGAUUUACCAAGAAGUUCCUGCGAUUCUUGAGAAGCGAGCUCCCGCACAACAUCCCCGCGAAGAGGAGGCUAGGACGGCGCUCCCCUCGGCCGAGUUGCGGGCGCGCGUGAGCCGUGCGAGGAGGCAGCCGAGGCGGCGGCGGUUCAUGGCGAGCGACGGCUCCGGUGCAGACCGGCCCAGCGAGCACUUAUAUGGGCCGCAACAUAGCCGUAUCAGCCACUACUUAUUGAUUGUGACAACUUCUUCACCAGGUGAACAUCGCGAUCAAUUGUAGCCGACAUCUAUUUUCGCCACCUUCGAAGUCUCUUUUCGCUCUUUUUCUCCUUAAUCUCUUUCUCUCUACCAGCUAAAGCAAUUGAAGUUCCAAAUUGGAGGGGAGUGGAUUGGAGUUACAAAGCUCACUAAUUGGUGAAAUAUAAUGCAUGUAAUUAAAUGUGGAGAGGUGAAGAGUUGAGCAUUUAGAAGUGGAAAUUAAUGGUGGAGGAGAAUGGAUUGAGUUACAAAGCUCACUAAUUGAUAGAAUAUGAUGUAAUGUAAUUAAAUGUGGAGAGGUGAAGGGUUUAGCAUAGCAUUUAGAAGUGAGGAUUAAUGAUGGAGGGGAGUGGAUUGGAGUUACAAAGCUCACUAAUUGGUGGAAUAUAAUGCAUGUAAUUAAAUAUGGAGAGGUGAAGGGUUAAGCAUUUAGAAGUGGAAAAGAAACGUAAAUUUUAUAUUGGGGAUUCAUAUAAGAGAUGGAUAUUAUUUAUUAACCUAAGAUGAAGGAUUUCUUGCCACGUGGCAAGAAAUAUUGUGGAUUCAUUAUGUUUAAUAGAUAUAGAUUACUUUAUUUAUAUAUAUAUUAGCAUUAUUAUGUGUAAUUUUUUUAAAUAAAAA